rnacentral:tRNA from 1 species
UUCGAUAUGGGGUAGUGGUUAACCUAGCGGAUUUUCAGUAUCUCUCUUUAUAGAGCAUCUUUACUCCGCGGCCCCGGGUUCGAUUCCCGGUAUCGAAG